GUGGGGAAUAUUGGACAAUGGCCGAGAGGCUGAUCCAGCCAUGCCGCGUGCGGGAAGACGGCCCUAUGGGUUGUAAACCGCUUUUGUUGGAGAGCAAUAAGAGUCACGUGUGACUUGAUGAGAGUAUCCAGCGAAUAAGCAUCGGCUAACUCCGUGCCAGCAGCCGCGGUAAUACGGAGGAUGCAAGCGUUAUCCGGAUUUAUUGGGUUUAAAGGGUGCGUAGGCGGAUGAUUAAGCGUGAGGUGAAAUGCCACAGCUCAACUGUGGAACUGCCUCGCGAACUGGUUGUCUGGAAUGCCCCUGCCGUGGGAGGAAUGUGUGGUGUAGCGGUGAAAUGCAUAGAGAUCACACAGAACACCGAUUGCGAAGGCAUCUCACGAAGGGGUGAUUGACGCUGAGGCACGAAAGCGUGGGGAUCAAACAGG
rnacentral:rRNA from 1 species